UACGUAGGGGGCAAGCGUUGUUCGGAAUACUGGGCGUAAAGGGCUCGUAGGCGGCCAACUAAGUCGGAUGUGAAAUCCCCAGGCUCAACCUGGGAACUGCAUCCGAUACUGGAUGGCUUGAAUUCGGGAGAGGGAUGCAGAAUUCCAGGUGUAGCGGUGAAAUGCGUAGAUAUCUGGAGGAAUACCGGUGGCGAAGGCGGUUCUCUGGGCAUGUCCUGACGCUGAGGAGCGAAAGUGUGGGGAGCGAACAGG
rnacentral:rRNA from 1 species